rnacentral:tRNA from 1 species
GGGCGUAUAGCUCAGCGGUAGAGCACCUGCCUUACAAGCAGGCGGUCACAGGUUCAAAUCCUGUUGCGCCCACCA